rnacentral:rRNA from 1 species
AUUGAACGCUGGCGGCAGGCCUAACACAUGCAAGUCGAACGGUAACAGGGAUCAGCUUGCUGAUUCGCUGACGAGUGGCGGACGGGUGAGUAAUGUCUGGGAAACUGCCUGAUGGAGGGGGAUAACUACUGGAAACGGUAGCUAAUACCGCAUAACGUCGCAAGACCAAAGAGGGGGACCUUCGGGCCUCUUGCCAUCGGAUGUGCCCAGAUGGGAUUAGCUAGUAGGUGGGGUAACGGCUCACCUAGGCGACGAUCCCUAGCUGGUCUGAGAGGAUGACCAGCCACACUGGAACUGAGACACGGUCCAGACUCCUACGGGAGGCAGCAGUGGGGAAUAUUGCACAAUGGGCGCAAGCCUGAUGCAGCCAUGCCGCGUGUAUGAAGAAGGCCUUCGGGUUGUAAAGUACUUUCAGCGGGGAGGAAGGGAGUAAAGUUAAUACCUUUGCUCAUUGACGUUACCCGCAGAAGAAGCACCGGCUAAUUCCGUG